UACGGAGGGUGCAAGCGUUAUCCGGAUUCACUGGGUUUAAAGGGUGCGUAGGUGGGCUGGUAAGUCAGUGGUGAAAUCUCCAGGCUUAACUUGGAAACUGCCAUUGAUACUAUCAAUCUUGAAUACCGUGGAGGUCAGCGGAAUAUGUCAUGUAGCGGUGAAAUGCUUAGAUAUGACAUAGAACACCAAUUGCGAAGGCAGCUGGCUACACGAAUAUUGACACUGAUGCACGAAAGCGUGGGGAUCAAACAGG
rnacentral:rRNA from 1 species